GAACAGCAUUGCUACAAGCCUGCUGCAGGUUUGUUACAACUUGCGCGUUUUUACGUGUGUACAUAUGAAUCCCAUUGCAAUACUGCAACAGGCUUUCUGCCCUCUUUGAUAUCUCUUUAUCUACUGCUUUUUAAGUUUUAACAUUGUUCCAAAGUUUUCCAUUUUCGUCGGAAGCGAGAGAAGGAAAGACCACAUAAGGCCUGGGAACGAGGCUAUGACGUCACACCAGCUGUCUUUAUGCCCUGCACAGUGAAAAUGUUCCAAUAUGUUUUCCUGGAAAACGAAAUAUAGAUAUGUAAUAUAUUAGAAGUUACUACGACAUAAAAUUGGGGAGAGGCCAAAGGUCGA
rnacentral:lncRNA from 1 species